AUCUGUCAUAUUACCGACAGUAUUCUAUUCAACAUGGCGAUGGCGAAUUGUUUGUAGUUUUGCUUCAUAAUCUUCAUAUGCUUCAUUAUGGCUGAUAAAAGACAGAAUAGUUUAUCAAAAGAAGAAAUAGCCAAGCAGUUUAUGCUGCCAGAAAGAAAGAGCAAGAUCGCAACGUUAUUGAAACAAGAUGGUCAAGCGUAUUGUAUUUGUAGAAGCUCGGAUAGUUCUCGUUUUAUGAUAGGAUGUGACGCAUGCGAGGAGUGGUACCAUGGUGAUUGCAUAAACAUAACUGAAAAAGAUGCAAAACAUAUUAAACAAUUUUUCUGUGUUCGUUGUAGAGAAGAAGAUUCAACUUUGAUAACACGAUACAAACCACGUAAAACUGAUCAAGAUGACAGAAAACAUAAAAAAUAUAAGGAGAAGGAAGGAGGACAUCGAUAUGAGUAUGAUGCGCCUUGGGAUCCUAGAGUAGAGAAAAAAUCCUCCAAGCGUUGCGGGGAAUGUACAGGAUGUCUACGUACGGAAAAUUGUGGGAAAUGUGAUGCCUGCAGACAUUUGAAGAAACAUGGGCCUUCGGUGCGAUUAAAGCUCAGAUGUAUCCAACGAACCUGCCGUGUACUGGGAGAUCCACUGAAACCUUCCAAAAGUUUCAACAAGGGAACGAAAUUGACCAAGAAGCGAAAGAGAGAUUCGAGUAAUGAAAGAAAUGAAUAUUUAGAGCCACCGCGUCAUUGCUACGGACCUGCAUGUACGAAACAAUCGCGGCCCGGUAGCAAAUACUGCUCCGACGACUGUGGCUUAAAAUUAGCGACGAGCAGGAUCUAUCAGGUGCUACCGCAGCGGAUACAGGAAUGGUCGCUGACUGCAUGCAUUGCGGAGCAAAAUAAUAGACGCGCUCUGGAAUCCGUGAGGAAGCAGCAACAUGAUGUUCGUAGAAUACUUCAGGAGCUGGAAAAGAGACACGUUGAAUUAGAUCGUAUCGUUGAACGUGCAAAACACGCGACUAUCGAUCCGCAAGCCGAGGUUGACGACAACGACGAUACGGAAAGUAGCAUGUACUGUAUCACGUGCGGCCACGAAGUCCAUUCGAGAACCGCCGUUAAACAUAUGGAAAAAUGUUUCAAUAAGUACGAAUCGCAAGCAUCUUUCGGCUCAAUUUUCAAGACGCGUAUCGAGGGCCAAGUGAUGUUCUGCGACUUUUACAAUCCUGUGAAUAGAACCUAUUGCAAAAGAUUACGUGUUCUCUGCCCAGAGCAUUGCAAAGAUCCCAAGAUUGGCGACAGUGAGGUGUGCGGUUGUCCGUUAGUUACGAACGUGUUCAACGUUACGGGUGAGUUUUGUCGCGCGCCUAAGAAGAGCUGCGUGAAGCAUUACAUGUGGGAAAAAUUGCGACGUGCGGAGAUCGAUAUGGAGAGAGUGAGGCAGUGGCUGAAGAUUGACGAACUCGUAGAACAGGAAAGGCAAAUACGAUCGAAUAUGGCGACACGGGCCGGUGUAUUAGCUCUAAUGUUGCACUCUACUUACAAUCACGAGUUAAUGGAACAGAUGACGCAGGAACAGAGCAGGGAACAAUUACAGGCGAUGGAGGAGGAGCUACAGAGAAGAUAUGGUUUACAUCAAAAGGAAUAAUGUAUGGAGCAGUGAUAGCUUCUCCCUACUUCAUAUUCUUCACGACUGCAAUAUUAUACAUUUUAAACCAAUUUUAUAUAUAAGAAAAUGACCAUGAUACGCAUAUAUAGUGUAUAUAUAUAUACACAUACACUCGUAACAAUUUUUAAUAAAUAAAAUUGUAUGAAACAGCGAACACAAGAUAAAGUUGAAAAGUUAUAGCAAGUUGAUGCAACCGUUAUAGGUGUGCACUGUAAUGUAAUAUAUAUAUGUACCUGUUAAUAAUAAGAUUAAGAUAAUUAUGCCAAUAUUGUACAUUUAAAUCUCAUGUCUGUCGGUUUUUGAAAUUUUAGAAAUUUUAACAAGUCUACAUAUUUUAAUAUGCAUGUUUAUACCUUUUAAAGAAAAUGUCUAUUCAUAUGUCGGAAGAGAGAAAUAUCUCUUGAUUCAUUUAUAUAUAAAAUGAAGAAUGUUUCUAAAUGAUGGUUUGCAAUAGAUGGAGAACUAGUUUUUCUUUUUGGUAAUAUCGUUAUUAUUUACAUUAUGGUAUAUCGAGAGACGUAGACGUUAGGAUCUUUUUUUUUUCACACACUCCGACAAUUAAUCGUUUCAACAAAAAUCAUUUAUUCACAGAUCGUAGCCUCUGCGGAUGCAAAAUAACACGCCAAACUAGCGAUCUAUCGCUUAGCUUCGGAAAAUAAUCGCGCAAAGCGCAUAAAAUGGACAUUGAUCCUCUCAGGAGAAUCGCCUGUUUCGAUUAGUUUUCUUAAACGCAUUAGUGAUGCGCAAUAUCUAUCGAAAUCUUUUGUUAUUUCGACAAUACAUUUUUACUCUAAGAUUAUUAUUAUAUUAUUAUAAUCACAUAGAGAAAUAAUAAUUCUUGGAAGUUUAUGUAAAAUGUUGCAGUAGCAAUAAUAAAAGAUUAUCUUUCUUUUAUUUAUAGAAGAAUUGAGAGAUUAUGUAAUUUAUAUCUAUGCAAAAAUUAGGAACAAAUAUAUCAAAUGGCAAUAUAUUAAGCAAAUGCAUUUGAUGUUCGUGCAAAUUAAGCGAUUGUAUGACAUCAACUUCAAAGUAUUUAAUUAUAAAAUAUAUUAUAAUAAAAUAAGAUAUAUUAUAAUAAAAUUGUAGUAAAGUAUUUCAUUUACGUGAUUAUGAUUGAGAUAUUUGCAUAACAAUAUUAUUAUGACAGUAUUUACAUAACAAAAUCGUGCAAGUGAUCUCAAUUAUAUGUUGCAGAACAAAAUGGAUACGCCACGAUAAAUCGAGGCCUAUUGUGAGUUUAUAUUUUGCAAGAUUCAAUUGUGCCAAAUCAAAUAAAAUUAUGCAAUUCGCUUCAAGGUAUCGGUCAAAACAGGCGAUUCACAUGUGCUCGUAUAUAUGUACACGUAUAUGUACGUGAUAUACGCUUAUUAAAGAAAAAGGAUGACGAAAUAGAACGACUCAUUUAUCACAGUAUUGCAUGCAAAGCAUGUACGAAAUCGCAAGUAAGUUAGCAUAAAGGCCAAAUGGCGACACUACACGCUUUCCUCUCAGAAUAUAUCCAGGGAAAUUAGAAUUUCUUUUUUCCGUAAAAGUAACGAAAUAUUCAUCUGUUCCCUCGUCCUUCCUUCCCUUCUCUCUCUCUCUUUCUCACACACAUUCUCACUUAUACAAUUCGACAUAUUCUUUUUACAUUCCAUGGCAAGGACUUCGAAUGACCUUUACAUCCAUGGUUCAUGAUAACUUCUACAUAUAUCUGACAAUAUCAUUAGUAACAAAAUAAUAAGCCAUUGUGUAUGUGUGAAUACAUCACCUGAGAAUGAAUCGUAAUAUAUUUUUCGCUUCCUCCGUAACGUUUUUUGGGUUUUUUCUACUCUUCCUUUUGAUGCAUAACUUUCCUCUUCUCGUACGAUGGAGUGUGUCUUAACAAUCUGUCAUUUUUACGGAUAUUAUUUAAAAAAGUAAGCAAUGUUCAAUAUUCGAGGAGUUCGCUGUCUUAUCCGAAUUGACACAGGCUGGAUGGUCUCGGCCUCUCGACGACCUAAUGUUAACAUUUUUUUUUUUCUUAACGAAACAUUAAUAUUUUUAUAUAAGCUUCAAAAGAAGAGAUUGAACCUCUCCGGCUAGUUCUGUGAAUGCUUAAUACAUACAGAGAAACUUAUUCUUUAAUUGACGCGACCGAUUAAGAUAAAUAAUUGACAUUUAAAGCUUCUCAAAAUUUUUAAUUCUGGGAAAUCCAGUAGAAAAAAAAAUAAAUACGAUCAUUCUCAUGCAAAAUCAAUAGAAUAAAAACGAGAUAAAUGAGACAAUUAUUAGAUAUAACUAAAGAAAUCUUAGUUAUAUCUUAAAAAAGAAACAGAAAAAUAUCUAAACGAUCUCUUUUUUUUUCUUUCUCUUUUUGUUUUUUUGUUUUUUUUUUUUUCGAAGACAACGAACGUUAUAAGAUGGUUUUUAUUUACCAUCUUGACAAAUUUCGCCGCGUUAGAUACGAUUAAGCAGUCAUCAGAAAUAUCACUGCUUAUCGUACUUUACAUUCGCAAGAGGGAACUUUGGCAACAAACACACUCGCAUAAAGUUCUGUAGCUGAACAGCACAGCCUUUUUCACGCGCACACAAAUUGUAGCUUCAAUAUACAUAUGGUUCUUUCUCUCUCUCUCUCUCUCUCUUGCUCUCGUUUAAUGUUUCUCAUUAAUAUAAUAGCGGCACACGUUAAUAAUAAUUUUAAUUGGAUUUUUUUUUUUGUAGCAUUGAUGUUAUAAUAAUACAAUAUUAUGUAUAUGUAUAUAUCAUACAAUACCGUAUGUACAGUGUGAGAGAAGAAUCGUUUUAUAUCGAAUAACAAAAUGUACAGCGAUACGAGGUAACAUCGAGGUCGUCGUCGUCGAAUCGUCUUCUUCGAUAUUUUUACUCCUCGUUUUGUUUCACAUCUUCCAGGUAGUCGAAAUAAUCGAUAUCAAUAUCUGAGGCAACAAAUCUCGCAAAAACAUUAAUUUUUAUGCACAUUUACGUGAACGGCUGACAAUCGAUGCUCAAUGCCGACAAUCGGAAAUAGAAUAAAAUAAAAGAAAAAAGAAAAGAACAGCAAAAUCAAUGCAAGAGCAUCCAAAAGCAGGGGGAGAGAUAAGGUGCAAUACUAACGUACUCAUAAUUCGAGUGUUUUUAUCAGAGAAUACUUAUAAACAAGUUUCGCUACUAUGGCAUUCCUAAAUAGAUUGCAAUUGAAAUAAAUAUAUAUGCAGAUCGAUAUGAAAGAAAAUAAACAUAUAUUUAUUUCUCUUCUCAUAAACGCUUAUAAACGAAAACAGAGGGGGAGGGGGCACAUAGAUUUUAUAUAUAUAAUGUAAUUUCGUUUCCUUGUCAUCUAUUUCAAGUUCUGUUACUCUCAAGUUCGUUACCGCGAUUCUGAUUUAUAUGUCGUUUAAAGAAACGAAAGUCGGUCCGCAACGAUGUUCACGUGUGCUUCUCGUAUGUCCAUCGAAUGAAAAAAUGUGAAGUAAUUAUAUAUUUUACAUGUGUGCGACACGGGUUAGCAUGUAGCUGCCUCCUCACACUCGUUAUGUACAUACACUGUUAAAUGGUCCUAUUUUCUUUCUUUUUUUUCCUUUGUUUAAUUUUUCUCCACAAGUACAUUUGCACUAGUCUUUGCGAACUCUUAUCACUUAGCCAUUUGAACCGGUCAAUGGCACAGGCUGAGACUGCAUCCUGUUACUUUAAGGCGGAGUGGAGCACCUAACUUUUUGAAUGUAGUUUUCACAUAUCGGAUUAAAAUAGCUCAAAAAAAAGUAUCAUCUGUUCUCAGAAGCAACGCAAAUUCUUCGAUGAUUCAGUCAAACUAAUAUCGCAAAAUACAAUCGUCAUAGCGUAUCGUCGAGUUUCGUGUAAAAAAUAAAAAGAAGAAAAGAAAUAGACACAGUCAGUAUAUCAAUCUGUUGAAACAUCACAUGUGAGGAAAGAGCACAGAAGAGCAUAUAGAAAAAUUAAAAGAGGAUCUAUCGAAGAAAUAGUUGUUACAACUUUUUUGGAAUGUUAACUUCGUUAUUGAUAACGAGGCUAAAUAUGAAACCUCUUGGGGGAAGGGCGCAGGGAAAGGGAAGAAAACUAAAAGCUUGAGUAUGUGUAAAUGUAUAGUACAAUCAAUAACUUUCAAAGAUUUGUAAAGCAAGAAAUUGAGCUUUAAAAAAAUAAAAGAAAAAAAGACACUUAGAAGAAAGAAGAUAUUUUGUCAUGUCCAGAUAUUUUAGCUGUGAUUAUAUGAUUAUACUUUUUCCGAGUUACUACUCCGAUAUGCAUUCCAUAAUGCUUAUGUUGUAUAAUUAGAUAUUUCUCAAUCUCUCUCGCAUAUCUCGAGAAAGCUGUACCUCCAGUUGGACUAUUUCCUAUAUACUGGACAAAAAAUGAAAAUUAUUAACAGAGCACAAUAUCUUUUUUUCGUUUUUACACAAUUUUGAUAUCUUCGGAAAGAAAAAACGAUAUAUAACAAACUCUCUUUUUACCCCAAUUCUAAUUCAUUAAUAAUAAUUAACUCGCAUUAUAUAAUACUACAUACAUUACACUUUCAUGCCCUUUCAUAUAUACGAAACUUAUCCAUGAUAAUUUAUUUUAUCAUUACCUAUAUAAAGGCGAUAAGUUUCCAUGACCACUCAUUCGUGAAUGAGACUGCUGUACGAACAUUAUUAUUCUCAUGUAGAAUGACAUGUUUCGUGAUAACGCGAGAAGUUUUUAUUUCUCUCAAGGUAAAAUGUACACGUUCUCACACUCUCCUGCUUCAGUGAUAAGAAGCAAUAUGAAACGAGUUUAGAACUGUAAUUAAAGUUAGUUUAUAAACGCAAAGAGGGAUCAACACUAAUAUUUAACCCGUUUAGUAUUUGGGACACAAUAUGCGCGCGGACCGUAAUUAUCCUGAGGUUACAGAAUUCAUAGACUUACAUUUAAAAACGUGUAUUACAGUAGUUAAAAGCAGAGCAUUAUAUAUUAUGCUUCAUAUUUCUCUUAGGCUCAGUUUCUUAGGCAUUUACAGGCAUACAGAAAUUUAAAAAGUAUGGCUUAUAUAUAUUUUUCUCUCUCUUUCUAUCUGUGUUAAUUUGAAAGAGAUGAGAUUCCUCUUACUAUUAUAUAUUAUGUAUACAUAUACACCAUACUAUGUCAGCGUAUAUAUUCCUACUUACAUACGCUUUAUCGAAACGAUAACAAUCAUGUUUCUUUUUACGCCUGUAAAUAAUGCCUCGAAAAAAAAAAAAAAA